CAGCCGUCCUCUCGAUCUCAUCUAGACAUCCAGCCCCGCCCCACCCCUCACCGUCGUCCGCCGCCGCGCGCCGCAGCCGCCUACCCCGCCGGCGCGCCUACCCCUACACCAAAUGCCAACACACCCGCGCCCAUCACGACCGGGUACCCGGGGCCUUCUACCUCCGGCGGCACUCGACGUCGCGGCCAUUGGCGGCUCCCCGACCUUGCUACCAUGGCGCCUCCGGGACUCCUCCCUGCUGCUUCCACCUCGACAUUGGUUUCCCCAACCCCGCUGGCUUUGCCACCAGCCACUCCUUCCAGGCGCACUCUAUCUGCCGUCGGACCCAUCCGCCUGGUUCCAAUGGCGAACAUCGCCGCCACCCUAUUGUGACGCGAGGUGAUGUUCUUCGAACUGCCGGCUUGAUUCUGCCUAGGUAGUAUGGAAAAGCAGGCAAAUUAUGUAACUAUUUGGGUGUACUCAUGCUCUGCUUUGUCAGAUUGAGGAGAAAUAAUUAUUUUGUUCACCCAUCCUAUUUUUUCCAGGUAAUGACUAAUGCUCUGCUAUGUCAGAUUGAGUGACUCCUGCAGAUAUUGACUAAUGCUCUGCUAUGUCAGAUUGAUAACUGAAGAAUUUUUCAUGAAUUUUGUAACUUGAAUUGGCUACAGAAUUGGGGAAAAGAGGAGUCCAGGUUUUGAUGAGCACGGAAUUCUGAUGAACACAUCUUCUUUCCCAGGUAACCAAUAGUUGGCACCUCUACAUUUACAUUACAUCAGGCCAGCGCCACAAAGCCCCUGUAUGCUUCUGCCUGCCUGCCUCGAUGGGCGAUCGGGUCACAAAAAAGUGGAUAAAAAAUACAUUAAUAUAUAUGUCAAUCGGAAGUCAGCUUGUGUGGCUCUGCAUGUAUGUUUACAAGUUGCAAAUAGCCUGGUUUUAUCAGUUGUUGCCUCAUGAAAGACCAACCAGUUUAUGCCUGGCAUUUGUGUCUCGACAUUUAUGCAGUACAAUUCCAGAGCUCAAGGUAUUAGGUACACUUUAAAUCCGAACUCUCACUCAGUUUAGUUCUCAUGUAGUGUUAAAUUCCGGAAAUCUAUAUUCGUUACCAAUGGUAAUCUGAAGUAGAUUAAUGGAGUAAUAAAAUUAUCAAACCACAUCCAGUUGCAAAACUGACCAGGCGAUGCACUUCAAUUGCCCUGCCGAUCCUCUCUUUUCAAGCAUCAACGUUUUUGUUGCCAUUUUGUGGGCUUUAUAGGAAGAAGGGAAAAGGUGCAGUACUUCUUCUUAAGAUAAUCCUACUCAAUGCAUACUAGAGAUUACUAUUUUUAAAAGUUAUUCUGAAGUGACUGUUCAGGGCUUGAGAUUGUCAAUUUCUAUGUACAUGUUACUGUUGUAUAUUAUACUAAUACAACAUUUUGUAGUCUACAAGGGAUCUGCGGUACUUUGAUAGUAGCAAAUAAAGAAUGAUUUCAAUGUGAUUGAUUUACUUACUAUGCCUAAAUUAGUUACAUAUAUUGUAUCUUUUGAAUUAUUUCUUGGUCAACUAGGUGUAGUUGAUUUUUCAGUUUUGACACACUUAUCUAUUUACAUUAUGUGGUUAUGUUUCAUUUUGUGGCUAACCAUGUGUAAGGAUGGAGGUUCAAACCGCUGCUGAUGAUACUGCGAACACAGAUAGUACCAGUCAAGAGAAUGACUUUUUGGAUGAAGAAUACCGUGACUUCAUGCAAGGAAAUGAGUUCCGAUAUUAACGCGACGAGUCCCUUGACUGAAGAAAGAGGAGGAGGAGGUUAGGGGAGGCAUGAGCCGACGGUGGAGCCGUCACGUCGCCUCGCAGGGAGGCUCAUGGGCAGGGGCAUGAGAGGUGUGAGGCGAGUGAGGAGGUGAACCAGAGAGGAUCAGUAGAUCGAGAUGGACAUGAGCAAGGAUGAACAGGAUGUUAUAGAGCCGUUAGCUGACGGUGCUAAUUUCUUGUGUGCUUCGAGCUCGGUUGCCAUGCAGUAUGUCUGUGUGAAUGUCCAUUUUCAUAUUUGGAGUCCACACAGGAUGGGUGGCUGAGGUGAAGAGAGUGAGCGAUUUUCUGUUUGUGAACCUCCAUUUUCAUAUUUGGAGUCCACACAGGCUGGGUGGCCGAGGUGAAGAGAGUGAGCGAUUUUUUUUCCAUUUUAUUUAGGAGAAGUGGGUGUCUGGUGAGGACUCCUUUCCCCCCUUGGUGAUGGUGGUGAGAUGGUGGAAUAUAGAAACUUUUUUUGUGGGAUGAUGUAAUAUAGAAAUUUCUCAACUUCUA